rnacentral:misc_RNA from 1 species
GAUGAAGAACGUAGCGAAAUGCGAUACGUAAUGUGAAUUGCAGAAUUCAGUGAAACAUCGAGUCUUUGAACGCACAUUGCGCCCUCUGGUAUUCCGGAGGGCAUGCCUGUCCGAGCGUCAUUGCUGCCCUCAAGCACGGCUUGUGUGUUGGGCCCCGCCCCCCGAUCCCGGGGGGCGGGCCCGAAAGGCAGCGGCGGCACCGCGUCCGGUCCUCGAGCGUAUGGGGCUUUGUCACCCGCUCUGUAGGCCCGGCCGGCGCUUGCCGAUCAACCAAACUUUUUUCCAGGUUGACCUCGGAUCAGGUAGGGAUACCCGCUGAACUUAAGCAUAUCAAUAAGCGGAGGA